GCCAUAGGUUAAUGCAAGUGUUUAACAGAUGCUUCGCUAUUAAAAUAUUUCCCCCCAAUACUGAAGAAUCUUAAACCAGCAACCCUAACAGAGAUUGCGAAGAUUUUCAAAGUGGGGCACCUCGAUUUCUCGAAUCUGUGGUGUGGCGAAUAUCCGUGUUCCUCCUGCUUAACUAGCCUGUUUGAAGGCACAGUUCAUUCUCGAGCAAUUCGUCACCUCCUGGGGGUCUUCUCUUCCGGUCUACAGGAGAGUGUGACUUCAGAAAGAACUUCGGAUUGGCCAAGGCAGGUCUGAUUCUAUUUAUUCUAAAGACAGAGUUGGAGAUGGGCUACCAUUGGUGUUGAUUGAGAUGACAAGCAGUCACCUGAGCCCAUACAGCUGGUAAGUAGAACAGUACUGGAGAGAUGGCUCAGCAGUUAAGAGCACUGACUGCUCUUCCAGAGAUCCUGAGUUCAAUUCCCAGCAACCACAUGGUGGCUCACAAACAUCUGUAAUGAGAUCAGGUGCCCUCUU
ensembl:processed_transcript